CCUACGGGUGGCAGCAGUGAGGAAUAUUGGUCAAUGGGCGGGAGCCUGAACCAGCCAAGUCGCGUGAGGGAAGACGGUCCUACGGAUUGUAAACCUCUUUUGCCGGGGAGCAACGGGGUCCUUGCGAGGGCCCGAUGAGAGUACCCGGAGAAAAAGCAUCGGCUAACUCGGUGCAAGCAGCCGCGGUAAUACGGAGGAUGCGGGCGUUUUCCGAAUUUAUUGGGUUUAAAGGGUGCGUGGGGGGGCUGUUAGGUAAGAGGUCAAAUGUCGGGGCCCAACGACGGCCUGCCGUUGAAACUGGCUGACUUGAGUGGGCGAGAAGUAUGCGGCAUGCGUGGUGUAGCGGUGAAAUGCAUAGAUAUCACGAAGAACUCCGAUUGCGAAGGCAGCAUACCGGACCCCGACUGACGCUGAGGCACGAAAGCGUGGGUAUCGAACAGGAUUAGAUACCCUAGUAGUC
rnacentral:rRNA from 1 species